GAACCUCAGAACUUGGCAAGGACUGUGCCAACCUUGGGACCUGAUGGAGUAGACCUUCUCACGAAAAUGCUCAAGUAUAAUCCUGCUGAGAGAAUCUCUGCCAAGGCAGCACUUAAUCAUCCUUACUUUGACAGUCUUGACAAGUCUCAAUUUUAACAGCAGAUACUGUCCAAUGCUUUUGUGCAGAUGUUGUAUAUCAAUGAUAGUGAUAUAUGGAAGUAAAUGAAAGUUCACUCCUGGCGUGGAAUUUAAGCAUAUGUGAGAUUGAUGUUGUUUGGUGUUAAGUAAUAGUUUGUCAUCAUCAUCUUGGUGAUAUGAUCAGCUAAGUAGAAACUCUACUGAACCUUUAUCACUCUGUAUUACUCAUGUAGGCUGUGCAUGAUCACCAUUGUCCUUGUGUACUUGAAAAAAUGUCCUUGUGAGAUGUAUGAAUUUUUACAGUUAACUUCAUUCUAGUACUUUUGGA